UUCUAACCUUUCGCCGUUAUCCGGCAAAGGGACAGUAUUUGGUGGGCAGUUUGACUGGGGCGGUCACCUCCCAAAGAGUAACGGAGGUGUCCCAAGGUCUCCUCAGUGUGGUUGGAAAUCACACCAAAGAGUGUAAGGGCAUAAGGAGGCUUAACUGCGAGAGAGACAUCUCGAGCAGAUGCGAAAGCAGGGCCUAGUGAUCCGGCGGUAACUAGUGGAUGUGCCGUCGCUUAACGGAUAAAAGGUACUCCGGGGAUAACAGGCUUAUCUCCCCCAAGAGUCCAUAUCGACGGGGAGGUUUGGCACCUCGAUGUCGGCUCGUCGCAUCCUGGGGCUGAAGCAGGUCCCAAGGGUUUGGCUGUUCGCCAAUUAAAGCGGUACGCGAGCUGGGUUUAGAACGUCGUGAGACAGUUCGGUCCCUAUCCGUCGUGGGCGUAGGAUACUUGAAGAGGGUCUGCCUCUAGUACGAGAGGACCGAGGUGGACGAACCUCUAGUGUACCAGUUGUCCUGCUCAGGGCACCGCUGGGUAGCUAUGUUCGGUCGGGAUAAACGCUGAAAGCAUCUAAGUGUGAAGCCCACCUCAAGAUUAGGUAUCCCAUCUGGAUUUAUCCAGAGAGAGACCCCGGGUAGACUACCCGGUUGAUAGGUCAGAGGUGUAAGGACAGUAAUGUCUUUAGCUAACUGAUACUAAUAGGUCGAGGACUUGACCGU
rnacentral:rRNA from 1 species